AUUGAACGCUGGCGGCAUGCCUUACACAUGCAAGUCGAACGGUAACAGGUCUUCGGAUGCUGACGAGUGGCGAACGGGUGAGUAAUACAUCGGAACGUGCCUAGUAGUGGGGGAUAACUACUCGAAAGAGUGGCUAAUACCGCAUGAGAUCUACGGAUGAAAGCAGGGGAUCGCAAGACCUUGUGCUACUAGAGCGGCCGAUGGCAGAUUAGGUAGUUGGUGGGAUAAAAGCUUACCAAGCCGACGAUCUGUAGCUGGUCUGAGAGGACGAUCAGCCCCACUGGGACUGAGGCACGGCCCAGACUCCUACGGGGGGCAGCAGUGGGGAAUUUUGGACAAUGGGCGGAAGCCUGAUCCAGCAAUGCCGCGUGCAGGAUGAAGGCCUUCGGGUUGGAAACUGCUUUUGUACGGAACGAAAAGCCCCGGGUUAAUACCCUGGGGUCAUGACGGUACCGUAAGAAUAAGCACCGGCUAACUACGUGCCAGCCGCCGCCGUAA
rnacentral:rRNA from 1 species